rnacentral:rRNA from 1 species
AGCCGUUAAGUUAAAAACUCGCCGAUUGACGUACGCAGAAGAAGCACGCCUACUCGGGCAGCAGCGCGGUAUACGGAGGGUGCAGCGUUAUCGAUACUGGGCGUAAGCCCACGCAGGCGGUCUGUAAGUCAGAUGUGAAAUCCCCGGCUUAACCUGGGAACUGCAUUGAAACUGGCAGGCUUGAGUCUCGUAGAGGGGGUAGAAUUCCAGGUGUAGCGGUGAAAUGCGUAGAGAUCUGGAGGAAUACCGGUGGCGAAGGCGGCCCCCUGGACGAAGACUGACGCUCAGGUGCGAAAGCGUGGGGAGCAAACAGGAUUAGAUACCCUGGUAGUCACGCCGUAAACGAUGUCGACUUGGAGGUUGUGCCCUUGAGGCGUGGCUUCCGGAGCUAACGCGUUAAGUCGACCGCCUGGGGAGUACGGCCGCAAGGUUAAAACUCAAAUGAAUUGACGGGGGCCCGCACAAGCGGUGGAGCAUGUGGUUUAAUUCGAUGCAACGCGAAGAACCUUACCUGGCCUUGACAUCCAGAGAACUUAGCAGAGAUGCUUUGGUGCCUUCGGGAACUCUGAGACAGGUGCUGCAUGGCUGUCGUCAGCUCGUGUUGUGAAAUGUUGGGUUAAGUCCCGCAACGAGCGCAACCCUUAUCCUUUGUUGCCAGCGGCUCGGCCGGGAACUCAAAGGAGACUGCCGGUGAUAAACCGGAGGAAGGUGGGGAUGACGUCAAGUCAUCAUGGCCCUUACGGCCAGGGCUACACACGUGCUACAAUGGCGCAUACAAAGAGAAGCGACCUCGCGAGAGCAAGCGGACCUCAUAAAGUGCGUCGUAGUCCGGAUUGGAGUCUGCAACUCGACUCCAUGAAGUCGGAAUCGCUAGUAAUCGUAGAUCAGAAUGCUACGGUGAAUACGUUCCCGGGCCUUGUACACACCGCCCGUCACACCAUGGGAGUGGGUUGCAAAAGAAGUAGGUAGCUUAGCGUUCGGGAGGGCGCUUCUGAAGUCGGUCUG